CUCUCUCUCUCUCUCUCUCUUUCUCUCUCGUCAACGUUUAUAUCCGAUACCUAAUUCUUCAAUAAAAUCACCCAAGAAAACCAAGAAUUUGCAGAAACAUUCAUUGGGUACUUUGGUGGGUCAUGUAGCUCCAGGCUUUGCCUUCUUUUUUCUUGGUUUUUGGCACUUGUUUAAUCAUAUCAGACUCCAUGCUCAACAACCCAAUUCUUAUACCUCUUCUCCUUGGUUUCCAACCUCAAAAUUUAGGUACAUAGAGCUUUUCUUGAUUAUGAUAGGGAGCUCUAUCUCUGUAUCUAUGGAGCUGUUUAUUGGUCCUAAGAGACACCAACCCUUUGAUCCUGAUGGAACCAUACCAUCAAACCAUCUUCAUAACUUUGAGCACUCUUCGAUAUCAAUGACUUUCUUUGUAUAUGCAGCUUUUGCAAUUGUUCUUGAUAAAAUUGGGCCAAAGGCUCAAUAUGGUUUAACUCAAUUUCUUGCAGCAUUAGCCUUUGGGCAACAGCUUUUUCUGUUCCAUCUUCACUCAGCUGACCACAUGGGUGUCGAAGGUCAAUACCACUUACUUCUCCAAAUUGUCAUAGUUGUUUCUCUAGCCACCACUCUCAUGGCUAUUGGGCUUCCUAAGAGUUUCAUGGUCAGCUUUGUUAGGUCUUCAAGUAUUAUGUACCAAGGUGUGUGGCUUAUAACCAUGGGGUAUGUGCUUUGGACACCAUCUUUAGUACCCAAAGGUUGCUUUAUUCACUUAGAGGAAGGUCAUCAAGUGGUUAGAUGUUCAGGGGAGGAGAGUCUACACAGGGCUAAAUCACUAGUAAACAUUCAAUUCAGCUGGUUCUUAAUUGGAAUUACCAUUUUUGUGAUGUGCUUCUAUUUGGCCAUGCUCAAAUUCUAUGGUGAACAAAAAAUUGAGUACUCAUCUUUAACAAAAGAAGAUCAGCAGUUGCUAGAAGAAGACUCAGAUGAUGUUGAAUCACAAAAGGGACCCAGCAAAUCAAACAGUUUUAUGCAUAUAGGAAGAAGCUUUGCCCCAGUUGACAUGGAAAGGUAAGAAGAAGAAGAAGAAGAUAGCGGAGAGUUUGAAAGUGAAAUGUGAUUAGGUAUGUGUACAAAUUUAAUACUAGGUUGCUUGGUGGGGUCCCACACUCUUUGUUUAAUUAAGCAUUCAAUAGUGUUUGGUUAAUGAAAAAACAACGACGUGGGAAGAAAGUGUGCUAUUUAUUAGGUCGAAGUUGGCGUGAAAUUAUUUGGCUUGUAUUGAUUUAUGGGUCUUAGAGCUUCAUUUUUUUUUUUUUUAAUUCAUUGAUAUUGUCUCUUAUGUAUGGGGA
rnacentral:misc_RNA from 1 species